rnacentral:rRNA from 1 species
UUGACGGGGCCGCACAAGCGGUGGAGUAUGUGGUUUAAUUCGAUGCAACGCGAAGAACCUUACCUGGUCUUGACAUCCCGGAGACCCUUAGGAAACUAGGGGUGCUUCCAUCUGGAAGAAUCUGGAGACAGGUGCUGCAUGGCUGUCGUCAGCUCGUGUCGUGAGAUGUUGGGUUAAGUCCCGCAACGAGCGCAACCCUUGCCUUUAGUUGCCAGCAGUUCGGCUGGGCACUCUAAAGGGACUGCCGGUGUUAAACCGGAGGAAGGUGGGGAUGACGUCAAGUCCUCAUGGCCUUUAUGACCAGGGCUACACACGUACUACAAUGGCCGAUACAAAGGGCAGCGACACUGCGAGGUGAAGCCAAUCCCGUAAAAUCGGUCUCAGUCCGGAUUGGAGUCUGCAACUCGACUCCAUGAAGUUGGAAUCGCUAGUAAUCGUGGAUCAGCAUGCCACGGUGAAUACGUUCCCGGGCCUU